rnacentral:ncRNA from 1 species
GAAGUAUCGCCACCGGGCGACAGCACUUACCAAACUCUUUAGGUCUUAGUAGAGUUCGGUAGGUGCUUUUAUUUUUG